UACGAAGGGGGCUAGCGUUGCUCGGAAUUACUGGGCGUAAAGCGCACGUAGGCGGCUUGUUAAGUCGGGGGUGAAAUCCUGGAGCUCAACUCCAGAACUGCCUUCGAUACUGGAGAGCUCGAGUCCGGGAGAGGUGAGUGGAACUGCGAGUGUAGAGGUGAAAUUCGUAGAUAUUCGCAAGAACACCAGUGGCGAAGGCGGCUCACUGGCCCGGUACUGACGCUGAGGUGCGAAAGCGUGGGGAGCAAACAGG
rnacentral:rRNA from 1 species